UACGUAGGGCGCAAGCGUUAUCCGGAAUUAUUGGGCGUAAAGAGCUCGUAGGCGGUUUGUCGCGUCUGCCGUGAAAUUUCGGAGCUUAACUCCGAAACUGCAUUCGAUACUGCGGUGCUUGAGGACUGGAGAGGAGACUGGAAUUCAUGGUGUAGCAGUGAAAUGCGUAGAGAUCAUGAGGAAGACCAGUGGCGAAGGCGGGUCUCUGGACAGUUCCUGACACUGAGGCACGAAGGCCAGGGGAGCAAACGGG
rnacentral:rRNA from 1 species